rnacentral:tRNA from 1 species
GGAACCGUGACUGAGCGGCCUAAGGGAGCAGACUGCAAAUCUGUUAUUUCGUCGGUUCGAAUCCGACCGGUUCCU